AACUUGGCCAAUCUACUAUUACUGUUUUACUUGUGAUUAUUUGAGAUUACUGGAGUUAUAAGAAAGAGUGGAAAAAAAAGGGAAAGAUGAUGGCCUCAACUUCAACUGUCCCUAACAUGCAACACUCCCCUAGCCGUGCUGUCGUGGCCCAAGCUUGAAUUCACCACAAAUCCUUUUAAUACUUACUGUAGAAAAAGUUACUUGUACAAACAAAUGAUUUGCAUAACUAAAAUGAUGAAUUUCUCGUAUGUCAUUUAUAUAUAUUGUUGUUCAUGUUACCACCAAUUCUUUUUCUUUCUCCUCUAACUAUCAAAAUGAAUGGCAAAUUAAUACUAUUUAGGAUGUUGGUUUCAUGUUAAUUAGUUCUCACAUUAGUUCUGUGCUUGUAGUUAAUCUGUGUUUGUUCUGUUCUUCCCCUUUAAUUAACUUCUGAUUUCUAUUAUGAUAUAGUUUUUGUAUAAUACAUUCUUUUUGUAAAAUAAUUUUUCUUAUACUCCUCAAAUUUGUCUGAAGAAAUGAUUUUGCGUUGUUUUAGUUGCCUCUUAACCUGCAAUGGCUUUGUUCACUCCAUCAGGUCUUGUAAUGCAGAAGGAUUUGCUGACUUCAAGCGAUCGCUCGAUGAGAUGCCAUCAAGCAUCUAUCUUUUCUCAUUCAACUAGCAGUGUUGAGAACUUGCUCUUUCUCAGAGUACAUCCUGUCUCCACCAAUCUACUAUGCAAACCAUCAUCUUUGAUAAGACACCCUGAAGGAGGCCAUUUUUAGAUUUACCCAUGAGUGGCAGCCAGUGCUAUUUAUUUGAUUCUUAGAAGUUUUCAGCUUCAUGUGGCAACAAGUUCUAGCUUGAUGAUGUCUGUGAAUCUCAAUAGUUUGUUCCAGAUAUUUUGAAUAGAAUAUUUGAAAUAGCAAUUGAGAUGGAAAAGAUUGAGAAGAAUUCAUUGAGAAGCAAAAUGCUGGAGGGGUAUCUUAUGGUAGCUCUAUUUAAGCCAUCAACAUCAACCAGACUUUCCUUUGAGCCAGCUAUAAAAAGGUUAGGAAGAGAAGUUUUUGAUUCCAAAAGAAGCACGUGAAUUUUCUUCAGCCACGAUGAGAAACUCUUGAAGGUAUGAUCUUAAUCAAGGUCUGUCAUACCGAAUCGUACCGCCCGGUACGGGCGGUAUGUACUGGUCCGACAGGCUGCUAGUCCUUGAGGGUGAUUUUAGCAAUGAAGACAAUGAUGAUUGGACAGAAGAAGAGCUUGACAGUCAUGUAGUGUAAGAACGCGAAGGAAAAAGGCCUCUUUUGACUGGAGACUUAUAUGUCUCAUCGAAAGAAGGUAUAGGAACCCUUGGAGAGCUCACAUUUCCAGACAAUUCUAGUUGGAUACGGAGUAGGAAAUUUAGGCUUGGACUGAAGAUUGCUUCAGGUUUUUUUGAUGGUAUUUGAGUCCGUGAAGCGAAAACAGAAGCUUUCACUAUGAAGGACCAAAGAGGGGAAUGUGGGUCAGCUUUGCACUAUCUUUGGUUUCUUUUUCUCCAUUUACCUAAGUUUUCUUUCUGAUGUUUAUAGUGUACAAGAAACACUAUCCACCUGAAUUGAAAGAUGAAGUCUGGAGAUUGGAAAAGAUUGGUAAGGAUGGUUCAUUCCACAAGAGGUUGAAUAAAUAUGGACUCUUUACAGUUGAAGACUUUCUCAGACUUGUUGUUAGGGAUCCCCAGAAACUCCGCAAGGUUCUUGGAAGUGGUAUGUCCAAUAAGAUGUGGGAGAGUCUAGUGGAGCAUGCCAAGACUUGUGUCUUAAGUGGAAAGUACAAUGUAUAUUAUUCUGAUGACACAAGGGAUUUUGGUGCAAUUUUCAAUAACAUUUAUGAGUUUUGUGGCCUGAUUGCUGGUGGGCAGUUCUAUUCUGCUGAAAACCUGAAUGACAAUCAGAAGGUCAGAAGCGCGUCAUUUUGCAAAAUGACACUUAGACCUCGCUGUCUAAGUGCCGCCUCCACAUCCUCAAGGUUGAGCGCGUCAAGGACUACCUCCUCAAGGAGGAGUUCGUCGCCAACCAGGAGCGCCUCCGUCCCCUGGAGGAGAAGAACGAGGAGGAUCACUCCAAGUUCGAUGAUCUCCGGGAGUUGCCGAUGAGCGCCGGAAACCUGGAGGAGCUCAUCGACGAGAACCAUGCCAUUGUUUCGUCAUCGGUCGGAACGGAGUACUACGUUAGGAUCCUAUCUUUUGUCGACAAGGAUCAACUGGAACUUGAAUUUGCCAUUCUUAUGCAUAACAAGGUUUUGAUAGUCGCAACUGCUAUGCUGAUGAACACUAUCUUCUAACUCUAUUGAAUG